rnacentral:lncRNA from 1 species
AUUAUGACGUAAUUGGUGACACAUAUUUUGCAACCGAAACAAUUGGAUAUUCUAACACAUGUUUUCAUAUAAUUUUCAACACAUUAUCGCAAUUACAAACUAGAUGUGUCAUAGCGACACGAAUGGCUCCGUCCCAAAAAGUUGAAAAAUCUGCAAUUUCAAUAUAAACACAUGUGGACACAAACAUGAUGGUGGUCUAACAUUUGAAGGC